AACAACCUGUAGAAGUCCAUGCAACUCUGUUUAAACAUUAUCUUUCUUACCAGCAAUGAUUUUAGCUUUGCAAUUUGAGGCUGUUUUUUUUUAGCUGCCCACAAUUUGUUCAUGAAAGAAAAGACACGUUCAGUGGAAGCAUUAGUUCCAGGAUGGCACAUUAUGAACUGAAGCAUAUCUGACAUGCGUUGAUGGUUGUUUUUGUCUUUGACAUGGGAGAAUACAUCAACCCACCGCUGUUACGUAUAUCAUAUGAGCAUUAUUGUUUAAUAAUUUGUGAAUAUAAAGAUUAAACAAGUGGGACUCAAAUCACUCCGUUAAUAUUAUGGUGAUAUCUGGUGUCUGAGUGUCUCCCUUCCUCUCUAUCCCUCCUUUAUGGGGGUCCUGUCCCGCUCCCCCCAGCAGAGCUGAGGUGGUGGGGGUGAUCGCACUCUUACCAACCCUGCCGAGAUUACCGAGUUGCUCAGUGGCAGGGUUGGAGUAAUUGUAAUUGUAAUUUAAUUGAAAUGUAAUUAAUUACAUUAAAGUAUGUAACUGUAAUUGUAAUUGUAAUUGGAUGUAGAACUUAAUGAAGUAAUGUAAUUAUAAUUAAUUACAUUAUAAAGUAAUUGUAACUUAAUUGUAAUUGCGAAAAAAGUAAGUCAUACUAAAAUUCUGAUAAUCCUUGUUUUUACUGCUAUGGUGGCAAAUAUGUAAAUACUGUAUAUGAUGAAGUAUGGCAACCCUUACUGGACAACCUACGUAUUAUACGAGAAUCAGACGCGUCCACUCUUCCCUGUUUGGUGGACUGGGACAUAUUUCAUUGCUUCCUAGACCGUCAUACGGCAAAGUCCUCCUCUUGACUUUCUAUUGUAAAGACAAAGAGGACACCUGAGCCAACGUAAAAAAAGAAGAAGAAAAGUAAAAGUAGGACGAGGAGGAAAAUUCGGGAAUGAACUUGUGAAGAUGGCGCAAGAAGAGGAAGAGAAGGUAAUAUAAGAAGGAGGAAGAGCCCUAAGAUGACGUGGAUGAGGCAAAAUUAAUGGAGGAAGAGGGCCAAUAAGGUGAUAAAAAAAUAUGAGGAAGAGGAGGCUGCGGGGAGCCAGCUGGACGAUUCUAUGAAGAGUCAGUUAAUGUCAUUCACCCAUUUCUGCACACGUUUGGACACACACUUUACGUAAGAUAAUAUAACAACUAUCAUCACCAACAUCACAGGUACUAUCACCAUUAUCACCACCACCACCGCCUGUAACACAUUCUAAAUCACCACUAUCAACAAUAAAACUACGACCUCUA